GGGGACAUUGGUGACAGGUGGUGCAUGGUUGUCGUCAGCUCGUGUCGUGAGAUGUUGGGUUAAGUCCCGCAACGAGCGCAACCCUUGUCUUUAGUUGCCAUCAUUAAGUUGGGCACUCUAGAGAGACUGCCAGGGAUAACCUGGAGGAAGGUGGGGAUGACGUCAAAUCAUCAUGCCCCUUAUGCUUAGGGCUACACACGUGCUACAAUGGGUAGUACAGAGGGUUGCCAAGCCGUAAGGUGGAGCUAAUCCCUUAAAGCUACUCUCAGUUCGGAUUGUAGGCUGAAACUCGCCUACAUGAAGCUGGAGUUACUAGUAAUCGCAGAUCAGAAUGCUGCGGUGAAUGCGUUCCCGGGUCUUGUACACACCGCCCGUCACACCACGGGAGUUGGAGACGCCCGAAGCCGAUUAUCUAACCUUUUGGAAGAAGUCGUCGAAGGUGGAAUCAAUAACUGGGGUGAAGUCGUAACAAGGUAGCCGUAUCGGAAGGUGCGGCUGGAUCACCUCCUUUCUAAGGA
rnacentral:rRNA from 1 species